CCACAAAUUCCCUUCCCCCCCCCMAAAAAAAAAAAAAAAAAAAAACGAAACAAAACAAACAAAAAAAAUCUGAUAAACAAAAAUAUUGAUGUCUGAAGUAAAAAAUUUAAACAAGCAAAACUUUCAACAACGGAUCUCUUGGUUCCGGCAUCGAUGAAGAACGCAGCGAAAUGCGAUAAGUAAUGUGGACCGCAGUACUCAGCGACUCAUCGAAUCUUUGAACGCACAUUGCGCCACUUGGUAUCACCAAAGGGCACACCUGUUCGAGCGUCAUCAUACAUCGCAUCAAGUCAAGGGCCCGCUUGCAAUUGGGCUUUGUCUGCUUUAUGUAGAAGUCUAAAAGUCAGUGACGGUUAAGUUAGGCAUUCCAGCGUAGUGGUUUAAAUUAGCUGUUGAAAUGUCUUUUACAUGACAGUCAAAACAUCCAGGGUAUCUGCUGGCGGAGACCCCCCCCCAGGGUUUCCGUUGGCGGAGACCAUUGGAUUUUAUCAAUUAU
rnacentral:misc_RNA from 1 species